UGCGCUGGUUUUGUUAAAGGUGUUCUGCAAAAGCAUUUAGCCACUGCAAUGAACUUGAAAGGGAAACAGGUGUAAAUCCUGUACUGUACCCGCAACUGUAAGCCGCUCUGAACAGAGUAUGGCAAGUCAGAUGUCCUGCCUUUACAAACCUCAGGCG
rnacentral:ncRNA from 2 species